CUUUUUAUUAAAAAAUAUCAAAGUUAAUACAAAAUAAUACAAAUAAAGCUGCUUGGAAGUUCUAAGUUAACAAUGACAAGUAACUCAAUUUUAAUGACAACAAAAAUGACAUGUGCCUGACUUUAACGUUGUAACAAAAAUGUGUUUCCAACUUUCCAAGUUCAAAUUGAGUUCAAAUUCAUAACUAAUUGCCUUAAUUUGGGAGGGCAGCCGCCGUCCGCUGUAACAAAAUGCAGAAACGCAGAAAGGUGAGCUGGAGUGGCUGAGACUGGUCGUCGAAGGCGACCAAAAAGACGAAGCUGCGGAGGCGAACGUGGGUGUCACCAUUUUGUUACGCAAGGGCAAAGGUGCCGCACCUUCCGAAAUGCCGGAGACGUCACGGAACGAUAUUUCAUUACACAAAUUGAUAUUUCAAAAAUAGUAAUUAACAAUUUAAUUGUUUUUAUGAUCGAACAAUUAUCAAUAGUGAUCGAAAAAACGAUAAUGAAUAAAAAC
rnacentral:misc_RNA from 1 species